rnacentral:lncRNA from 1 species
CUUCUUGCUCAUAAAGGGGUACUCAAUAUGUUUAGAAAAAUAACCAUCAUUUUGUUUUUAAUGGAAUUCGCUGCCAUCCAGGUUUUAACAUAUUGUCUCCUCCACGAUUUGAUUCCUAAAAAUAGAGUCCAUUCUGUUAUUUUUUAGGUUUCUGCAGGUGCAAUGCAUGUUAUUCAACUUUGGCUUGAAAUUUCUUCACUAGUUCUAGGCUGGGCAUGAGAUAUUCAACCAACUUGUUGCCUUUGAUCUUCUACUCCGAUCCGACCAGUGUGCAUUUCAUUUCUGUUGUAAGGCUCCUGUGCUGAUUCCCUGAGAUAACCUGCACUUGAUAGUUGACAUCACAAGCUGUUCAGGAUUCAAGUAAAUUAUUCAGAACAAGUUGAGAUAAAAAUUUGGCAUCAGACAAUCUGGCCAAACUUAUUGAUCUUACUGUCUAAAAUGCGAAUGCCCGGAGACAUGCUUCUAACCUACUCCUGGGGGCUCUAAUCUUUAGAUCUCUAUAAGCCAACAAAUAUUUGAUUUAAUUUUAUGGUAAUUGUUGUUGGUCAUGAUUUAGCUUGCAAGGUCUCUUAUUACAUGAUCAUAUCUGUCAGAGAUCAGAAACUGAGUGCUAUUUUAUCGGGUUUUUAGUAAGUAAUUGCUUGCAUAUUUAAGUUGACAGCCGUUUAUUUUGCUGUUUCUUAUAAUUACUAGCUUUUGAAGCAUAUUGAAUGUCAUGUUAUCUGGCAGUUUUAUAUGCACAGGUCUCAGUUAAUUCAUAGGAAUUAUUUGUACAUUUCUGGUCGGUCCCCUUUCUGCAAGCAAUCACCAUUAAAUCAUGUUCAGUUUUAUGUUAUAGUUUUUAUACAUGCAUGCUUGUAUUGUUUUUAAAUCAUAAGCUGUUUUUAAUCCUUUCUAUCCUUUCAAUCAAUGAUCUCGAAUGUUUUCUUGUCAUUUUUUUUCAUACAAGAAAGGUGGCUAAGUUUAUUUACUAGCAUGUGUGGACCAAGCUUUCUGUAAUUUUCGGUCUUUUGCAAUCAUGAGAGGGUUAACUCUCAGUAAACCUGCCCUUGUAUAGCCUCUGCUUAAUUCCAUGUGGUUCUUUAUGUACAGAUAUUGGAAGCAAACGCUAGAAAGGUUGGUAAAGUCCGCUUCAAACCAAUAAAAGGUGAAUAUGUAAAUAUGGAGAAUGAAGGCAUAAAUAGUUUGGUUCCCACCAACGUCAUGAAACGGAAGAACCAGAGUGGUAGUGAACCAGAACUGAGCAGCCAUGGAGACUGUGAAAUGGAUGCAGGCAACCAUGGUGAAAAAACAGAACAACAGGAACAUGGAUACUCUGAUGAGGUCAUAAUUGUCCAGGAGGCAUUGGAAGAGUCCCACAGCUAUGCCAUUGAUAAAAAAGCAGAUGAUCAUGAUUGUAAUACCCAACAAUAAUUACAUUGCACCUCAAACACUAUCAGUUCUUGCAACACAGGGGAAAAAGAACUUGGAAAUAUAAAAAGAACACCAUAAGACUGUCAAAAAUGCAGAGGAAAAAAAGGAGGCGAGUCAACAAACAUGUAGGCUUGCUUACAGGUGAAGAGUGGUGUCAACACCUGUUUCAUUGGAAUUUUGAGAGGCAUGCAUGCCCUUGUUAUGCAGUAAGCCAAUGGAAAGCGAGGUCUCUAAGGCCUGGAUUUCUG